CGGAAUGUAGCACAGCCGGGUAGUGCAUCUGCUUUGGGAGCAGAGGGUCAUAGGUUCAAAUCCUAUCAUUCCGA
rnacentral:tRNA from 1 species